rnacentral:tRNA from 1 species
GGACCAGUGGUGCAGUGGUAGUGCACCAUGCCUGGUGUGAUGGGGGACCCAGGUUCAACUCCUGGCCAGUCCA